GGGUUGUUAGCUCAGCUGGUAGAGCAGCGGACUCUUAAUCCGUAGGUCGUAGGUUCGACCCCUACACAACCCACCA
rnacentral:tRNA from 1 species